GAUGAACGCUAGCGACAGGCUUAACACAUGCAAGUCGAGGGGCAGCGGGGGUAGCAAUACCCGCCGGCGACCGGCGCACGGGUGAGUAACGCGUAUGCAACUUACCUAUCAGAGGGGGAUAACCCGGCGAAAGUCGGACUAAUACCGCAUGAAGCAGGGAUCCCGCAUGGGAAUAUUUGCUAAAGAUUCAUCGCUGAUAGAUAGGCAUGCGUUCCAUUAGGCAGUUGGCGGGGUAACGGCCCACCAAACCGACGAUGGAUAGGGGUUCUGAGAGGAAGGUCCCCCACAUUGGUACUGAGACACGGACCAAACUCCUACGGGAGGCAGCAGUGAGGAAUAUUGGUCAAUGGCCGAGAGGCUGAACCAGCCAAGUCGCGUGAGGGAUGAAGGUUCUAUGGAUCGUAAACCUCUUUUAUAAGGGAAUAAAGUGCGGGACGUGUCCCGUUUUGUAUGUACCUUAUGAAUAAGGAUCGGCUAACUCCGUGCCAGCAGCCGCGGUAAUACGGAGGAUCCGAGCGUUAUCCGGAUUUAUUGGGUUUAAAGGGUGCGUAGGCGGCCUUUUAAGUCAGCGGUGAAAGUCUGUGGCUCAACCAUAGAAUUGCCGUUGAAACUGGGGGGCUUGAGUAUGUUUGAGGCAGGCGGAAUGCGUGGUGUAGCGGUGAAAUGCAUAGAUAUCACGCAGAACCCCGAUUGCGAAGGCAGCCUGCCAAGCCAUGACUGACGCUGAUGCACGAAAGCGUGGGGAUCAAACAGGAUUAGAUACCCUGGUAGUCCACGCAGUAAACGAUGAUCACUAGCUGUUUGCGAUACACUGUAAGCGGCACAGCGAAAGCGUUAAGUGAUCCACCUGGGGAGUACGCCGGCAACGGUGAAACUCAAAGGAAUUGACGGGGGCCCGCACAAGCGGAGGAACAUGUGGUUUAAUUCGAUGAUACGCGAGGAACCUUACCCGGGUUUGAACGCAUUCGGACCGAGGUGGAAACACCUUUUCUAGCAAUAGCCGUUUGCGAGGUGCUGCAUGGUUGUCGUCAGCUCGUGCCGUGAGGUGUCGGCUUAAGUGCCAUAACGAGCGCAACCCUUGCCACUAGUUACUAACAGGUAAAGCUGAGGACUCUGGUGGGACUGCCAGCGUAAGCUGCGAGGAAGGCGGGGAUGACGUCAAAUCAGCACGGCCCUUACAUCCGGGGCGACACACGUGUUACAAUGGCGUGGACAAAGGGAAGCCACCUGGCGACAGGGAGCGAAUCCCCAAACCACGUCUCAGUUCGGAUCGGAGUCUGCAACCCGACUCCGUGAAGCUGGAUUCGCUAGUAAUCGCGCAUCAGCCAUGGCGCGGUGAAUACGUUUCCCGGGCCU
rnacentral:rRNA from 1 species